UUUAUUAAAGUAAAAUUUGUAAAUUCUUUUCAAAAUUAAAAAAAAAUCAAUAAUCAAAAUCACGUCUAAAAGAUAUACUUCCCUCCAAAACUAAAAUCUAAUUUCCAAAAUUCCCCCAAAAUGUUUUUCAAUUUCCCCCCAAAAUCCAAAUCACGGUUUGUUGGUUCACCCACGUUCCUCCUUUUCCUCAAAAAAACUCCUUUUCACCAAAAUUUGUUCAUAAGCCCCAUGAUUCCAAUUGAAAGUCUCACAACACCUUUCAGAGAAGACAAAUCAAGAAGGGAGCUCGAAGAAGAUGUUACAGAAGGAGUGAAGGUGGAAUCGAGCAGGGAGCUCGAGGAAGAUGUUACCGAUACACUGGCGAGAAUUUCAACCUCAAGAUCUCUACACGGUCUCGUUGUUUUAAUAUCUGCGCCACAACUGAUAUAUGGGAAACCCGCGCGUUGCGGCGAAGCAAGCAAUUGACAACGUUGUACUCGGAAAUGUUUUUCGUUUGUUCAUUAAUUGUUUUGGUUUUUGUUGGGUCUCCAAGAUAACCCGCGCUUCGCGACGGGCAAAAAAUGGUGGUCCAUAUGGGGGACCAUAUAUGAGUUAUCUGUUCCAUGUGCAUACGACAUUUCUUAUGAAAGAAGUCGAUGAAACCGUUGUGCCAAGCAUAGAUGUUCCCGUUUAAGUCUCUAGAAGAUCAAUUGCUACAUUAGUAUAAGGCAUUUUACUUUCUUAAUUUAUCCUUGUAGCAUAAUCCUAUAUACAUUUAUAAAUCAUGUGUUUAUGCGGUUGUAAGUGCUUUUUGUUGUGUAAUAACUAGAACCUAUUAGCAAUGUA